rnacentral:rRNA from 1 species
AGCUCCAAUAGCGUAUAUUAAAGUUGUUGCAGUUAAAAAGCUCGUAGUUGGAUUUCGGGUUUAGGCGGGCGGUUCGCCUCGCGGCGAUCACUGCUCGACCUGACCUAGCCGCCGAUCCUCCCUUGGUGCUCUUGACUGAGUGUCUCGGGGCGUCGGAACGUUUACUUUGAAAAAAUUAGAGUGCUCAAAGCAGGCGAUUCGCCUGAAUACUCGUGCAUGGAAUAAUGGAAGAGGACCUCGGUUCUAUUGUGUUGGUUUUUGGAACUAGAGGUAAUGAUUAAGAGGGACAGACGGGGGCAUCCGUAUUACGGCGUUAGAGGUGAAAUUCUUGGAUCGCCGUAAGACGAACUACUGCGAAAGCAUUUGCCAAGAAUGUUUUCA